GAUGAACGCUAGCGAUAGGCUAAACACAUGCAAGUCGAGGGGUAACGUGUUGGAAGCUUGCUUCCGAUGACGACGACCGGCGGAUGGGUGCGUAACGCGUAUGCAACUUGCCUCACAGUGGAGAAUAACCCGGAGAAAUCCGGACUAAUACUCCAUACACUCUUAAGUACGCCUGUACAUGAGAGGAAAGAUUUAUCGCUGUGAGAUAGGCAUGCGUCCUAUUAGGUAGUUGGUGAGGUAACGGCUCACCAAGCCGACGAUAGGUAGGGGUGCUGAGAGGCAGAUCCCCCACAUUGGGACUGAGACACGGCCCAAACUCCUACGGGAGGCAGCAGUGAGGAAUAUUGGUCAAUGGAGGAAACUCUGAACCAGCCAAGUCGCGUGAAGGAAGAAUGUCCUAAGGAUUGUAAACUUCUUUAGCGAGCGAGUAAGGACUUCCACGUGAUGGGAGUUUGAAAGUAGCUCGAGAAUAAGUAUCGGCUAACUCCGUG
rnacentral:rRNA from 1 species